rnacentral:miRNA from 1 species
UAGAGGCAAAAAGAGUGAGAAUGAGAGUGAAGAUGGGAUUGAGAGGAAUGAGUAAAAAAAGUGAAAAUAAAAACUAAAACUAAAAUCUAUUUGAAAUAGUUUUUACUUUUGUUACUCUUCCCUUCGAUCCUCUCAUCCUCUUAUCAUCUCUCUCAAU